rnacentral:rRNA from 1 species
AUUGAACGCUGGCGGCAUGCUUUACACAUGCAAGUCGAACGGUAACAGGGAGCUUGCUCCGCUGACGAGUGGCGAACGGGUGAGUAAUAUAUCGGAACGUACCCAAGAGUGGGGGAUAACGUAGCGAAAGUUACGCUAAUACCGCAUACGAUCUAUGGAUGAAAGCAGGGGACCUUCGGGCCUUGUGCUCCUGGAGCGGCCGAUAUCUGAUUAGCUAGUUGGUGAGGUAAAGGCUCACCAAGGCGACGAUCAGUAGCUGGUCUGAGAGGACGACCAGCCACACUGGAACUGAGACACGGUCCAGACUCCUACGGGAGGCAGCAGUGGGGAAUUUUGGACAAUGGGCGCAAGCCUGAUCCAGCAAUGCCGCGUGAGUGAAGAAGGCCUUCGGGUUGUAAAGCUCUUUUGUCAGGGAAGAAACGGCUGUGGCUAAUAUCCACGGCUAAUGACGGUACCUGAAGAAUAAGCACCGGCUAACUACGUGCCAGCAGCCGCGGUAAUACGUAGGGUGCAAGCGUUAAUCGGAAUUACUGGGCGUAAAGCGUGCGCAGGCGGUUUUGUAAGUCUGUCGUGAAAUCCCCGGGCUCAACCUGGGAAUUGCGAUGGAGACUGCAAGGCUAGAAUCUGGCAGAGGGGGGUAGAAUUCCACGUGUAGCAGUGAAAUGCGUAGAGAUGUGGAGGAACACCGAUGGCGAAGGCAGCCCCCUGGGUCAAGAUUGACGCUCAUGCACGAAAGCGUGGGGAGCAAACAGGAUUAGAUACCCUGGUAGUCCACGCCCUAAACGAUGUCUACUAGUUGUCGGGUUUUAAUUAACUUGGUAACGCAGCUAACGCGUGGAGUAGACCGCCUGGGGAGUACGGUCGCAAGAUUAAAACUCAAAGGAAUUGACGGGGACCCGCACAAGCGGUGGAUGAUGUGGAUUAAUUCGAUGCAACGCGAAAAACCUUACCUACCCUUGACAUGUCAGGAGGACCGGAGAGAUCUGGUUGUGCCCGAAAGGGAACCUGAACACAGGUGCUGCAUGGCUGUCGUCAGCUCGUGUCGUGAGAUGUUGGGUUAAGUCCCGCAACGAGCGCAACCCUUGUCAUUAGUUGCUACGCAAGAGCACUCUAAUGAGACUGCCGGUGACAAACCGGAGGAAGGUGGGGAUGACGUCAAGUCCUCAUGGCCCUUAUGGGUAGGGCUUCACACGUCAUACAAUGGUACAUACAGAGGGCCGCCAACCCGCGAGGGGGAGCUAAUCCCAGAAAGUGUAUCGUAGUCCGGAUCGUAGUCUGCAACUCGACUACGUGAAGUUGGAAUCGCUAGUAAUCGCGGAUCAGCAUGCCGCGGUGAAUAAGUUCCCGGGUCU